AGUAAUGUAUGGGGAUCUGCCUGAUGGCGGGGGAUAACUACUGGAAACGGUAGCUAAUACCGCAUAAUGUCUGCGGACCAAGCGGGGACCUUCGGGCCUCUUGCCAUCGGAUGUGCCCAGAUGGGAUUAGCUAGUAGGUGGGGUAACGGCUCACCUAGGCGACGAUCCCUAGCUGGUCUGAGAGGAUGACCAGCCACACUGGAACUGAGACACGGUCCAG
rnacentral:rRNA from 1 species